GAUGAACGCUGGCGGCGUGCCUAAUACAUGCAAGUCGAGCGAACGGACGAGGAGCUUUCUUCUCUGAUGUUAGCGGCGGACGGGUGAGUAACACGUGGAUAACCUACCUAUAAGACUGGGAUAACUUCGGGAAACCGGAGCUAAUACCGGAUAAUAUAUUGAACAGCAUGGUUAAAAAGUGAAAGACGGUCUUGCUGUCACUUAUAGAUGGAUCCGCGCUGCAUUAGCUAGUUGGUAAGGUAACGGCUUACCAAGGCAACGAGGCAUAGCCGACCUGAGAGGGUGAUCGGCCACACUGGAACGGAGACACGGUCCAGACUCCUACGGGAGGCAGCAGGAGGGAACCUUCCGCAAUGGGCGAAAGCCUGACGGAGCAACGCCGCGUGAGUGAUGAAGGUCUUCGGAUCGUAAAACUCUGUUAUUAGGGAAGAACAAAUGUGUAAGUAACUAUGCACAUCUUGACGGUACCUAAUCAGAAAGCCACGGCUAACUACGUG
rnacentral:rRNA from 1 species